UCGAGCCCAGAGGGAAUUCCAUUCACGACGCUGGGAGCGAGAUUCACCGGCAACCUGCGCCCGCCCACAUCCCUCUGUUUAAAAGCCCUCAGUGUGUCUCCAGCUGGAGUCCGCCCCAAAGCACCUGAGGUCUCUCUCUCACGAGUCUGUCCGUUCCUCAUCCCUCUCCUAGUCAGCCUCCGUUCCAAACCGCAACCUGGUACCGGAACCCUCCCCCGACCAGAACUCAUUACAACCACCGUGCCAGUUUUCCCACUGCAGCUUCCCGACCACGGAUGAUUUGACCAUUUUCUGAUCUCUUUGCUAUAGGAGCGUCGUUCCACUCAUGGCAGUCGGAGGAUGCAGGCCCAGACAAGAUACAGAUCCUGAAGCGGAGCCGAGGCCAGAGCCAGAGCCUAACUGUGUGGGGCGUGGCAAAUCGCUGGACAUGUUGUGGGAGCCGUCGUUUCUCUAGUCCUGGGGCUGAGACCUGUGGGGGCCAACU